rnacentral:rRNA from 1 species
GACGAACGCUGGCGGCGUGCUUAACACAUGCAAGUCGAACGGUGAAGGGGUCUGCUUUUGUGGGCCCUGGAUGAGUGGCGAACGGGCGAGUAACACGUGAGUAACCUGCCCCCUUCUUCUGGAUAACCGCAUGAAAGUGUGGCUAAUACGGGAUAUUCUGGGUCUGUCGCAUGAUGGGUCUGGGAAAGAUUGCGCCUUUGGGUGUUUUUGGUGGGGGAUGGGCUCGCGGCCUAUCAGCUUGUUGGUGGGGUGAUGGCCUACCAAGGCGGUGACGGGUAGCCGGCCUGAGAGGGUGGACGGUCACACUGGGACCGAGACACGGCCCAGACUCCUACGGGAGGCAGCAGUGGGGAAUAUUGCACAAUGGGCGCAAGCCUGAUGCAGCGACGCCGCGUGAGGGAUGGAGGCCUUCGGGUUGUAAACCUCUUUCGCCAGUGAAGCAGGCCUGCUCCUUGUGGGUGGGUUGACGGUAGCUGGAUAAGAAGCGCCGGCUAACUACGUG